AGUACCCCUGACUGCAGCCCGCAGAUCGGGGCGUGCCUCAACGUGGGCGGAGUUAAACGUUGAGCUCCGCCCACCUUAAACUAAACGUGGGCGGAGUUAAACGUUUAACUCCGCCCGCAUAGCGCAGUUGAACCGUUGAAGAAGAAGAAGAAUGUAUUAGAGAAGAAGAAGAAGUUUCCAAAAUGGAGAGAAUAGAGCACGUGUUUGCUGCAAACAGCCACGUCAUUGCCACAUGGUUUCCACCAUCAUCCACAAACCCCAUGGAUCACCUGCUGGACAAUGCAGCCAGUCUCCAGUGGGUUCUGCUUCCAGUAUUUGUACCUGGACACUGGAUACUCUGUAAAUACAUUUAUAUCUUCCUCUAUUAUGACCUCACACAACAAAGCUGCUCAUUGCUGAUUUAAAUUUUUUGGUAUAUUAAAUGCAGCUUUGUUAGUAUUUCUGUAACAUUCCAUAACUUUAUGUGUGUGGUUAUAUUUGAACACAUUUAACAGAUACUGAGGCCACAGGCUAGGGAGAUUUUCUUUCUAGAUCCCCUCUGUGGCAGCAGCUGGAGAGAUGAGAGUAGAGUCCAUCUAGUCAGGUUUUUAGGACACCUUCCAAGAUCCUUCCUGGACAGUGUUAGUUCUGUUUUAAACCACUUGUCCUUUGUUUAAUAAAUGCUUCUGUUUUUAUUUGAAUGCAUUAAGAUGUUCCAAACAAACAAAAACAAACAACAAAAGUGAGUGUUUGCGAGGGAUAGAAGUAAUUGUUACCUUAUUCUUAUUUAUUUUUACAUUAUUCUAUGCAGAUGGAAACAGAACCAUAUGUUUUGUUUGUUUAAGCCCAUUACAAAAACGUUUGAUUUGAAGUUCCAGCCUCUUCCAACUUUGUUCCAAGUGUUGCUUUAAAAUGCUUUAUUGUACUUUUAUUUCCUCUUUGAGCACAUUGCUCACAUCUCCUGGCCCUUGGAGGCAGCUUGGUGUGAAUGAUGUUCAGGAAAACAUGCUGCAGAUUAGAAGAUGGUGGUGUCUUGUUCUGCUGCCAUCUGAAGAAGAGAGAUUGCAGCAAAGAAAAAGGCAACGAGAGCAGAAAAACUACAGGAGAAUCCUUUGGUCAGGGAUGCCAUGGCGGCAGCCCGGUGGUGUGGGACCAGAACUUUCAAGGGAAAAUUUCCCUUCCCCAAGUUGUUACCAUGGCCAAGGAGCAACGCGUGAGGGCAGGGAACUCCUGUGUGUCUGUGAUGGCCAGGAAGAAGAGGAGACCGCUGAUCUCAGAGAACCGUUCCUUUUUCUUUUUAGUCUGCAGGAAGACUAUGAGACAUUCUGUCAAGAAAUCAUUGACAGGAGAAACAUGAAGGUGUUUUGUGCUUUUGACAGAAAAGAAUAAAGUUGUGUUCAACGGUG